AGUGAACGCUGGCGGUAGGCCUAACACAUGCAAGUCGAACGGCAGCACAGUAAGAGCUUGCUCUUACGGGUGGCGAGUGGCGGACGGGUGAGGAAUACAUCGGAAUCUACUUUUUCGUGGGGGAUAACGUAGGGAAACUUACGCUAAUACCGCAUACGACCUACGGGUGAAAGCAGGGGAUCUUCGGACCUUGCGCGAUUGAAUGAGCCGAUGUCGGAUUAGCUAGUUGGCGGGGUAAAGGCCCACCAAGGCGACGAUCCGUAGCUGGUCUGAGAGGAUGAUCAGCCACACUGGAACUGAGACACGGUCCAGGCUCCUAAGAGAGGGAGCAGUGGGGAAUAUUGGACAGUGGGCGCAAGCCUGAUCCAGCCAUACCGCGUGGGUGAAGAAGGCCUUCGGGUUGUAAAGCCCUUUUGUUGGGAAAGAAAAGCAGCAGGUUAAUACCCCGCUGUUCUGACGGUACCCAAAGAAUAAGCACCGGCUAACUUCGUG
rnacentral:rRNA from 1 species